UGGUCGAUGCAUGACCCGGUACACGAGACGCUAAACGAAAGCAUCGAUCAAGAGACACUAGACGCUACAUGAGUGGGUAUUCGAUGAUUAUUGUUGGGACACGAGUUGGAACACACUAGUUGGUAUACGAGAUUGACGCCCCUCGAGUAGGCACGUCGUUCAGGGCUUGCCCUGAACGGCGUGCUUGCGACAACGGUUGGUCUAGGCCAACCGGGUUAAAAAGGCAUGUUGGUUGCUUAUCGAUGUAUGAUGCAUGUUGGGUUGGCUAGGAUAGCACGAUGUACCUUGAACGACAUUGGCCAAUGAAUUGGGCGUUGAGGAGCCUUGCAACGCUACUGAGGCCAAACCGCUCGCUGAUCCUCGUUCUUAGCAUGUCGAGUUACUCAAGCCUGGCUUAGUGACAAGAAAUGCUAAGAACGUGGUGCUGCAGGCUAAGGCAAGCUAUCGGGCACCUGUUGAUCCUUGUUCGAAAUGCGAUUGGUUGUCAAAGCCUGGCUAACGACCGGACCUUAGUAGGAUAAGGUGAUAUAGGUGUGCAUCGAGGCAACGGCCCUUCUUUUNUUUUUCUUUGUUACUUUCGCAUCGUUCGGUGCUUUCUGGGGGCUGUUUUGGCUUUUGGUUGCUUGCUUGACCUUUUGGUUAAGUGGGUCGCUACUAGUCGGACGGUUUUCGGGAAUGUCGACCGGGAAGGUGCAUGAGUGGUGUUUGGUUUGUUACGGGUGGUUGGCUGUCUGCUUGCGCAGCAACGUCCACGCGUGCAUACCUCUUCAGUUUUGCGUCAAGACUUGCUUUGUCUUGAGCAUAUUGUGGGUUUCCUGUGUUGCAUACCUAACCGAUGGUAACGUGUGGGUUUUAUGAUGUCCCUUUUCGUCAUGUGUCGCUCAUGCGGCGUGGGAUGAACAUUGAAGCGGUCUUUGUGAUCCACCUUGUUAUUGCAUUUGCAACGAUGAUGUGGUGAAUUAAGUAUCGCUUGGUCUCUUGUAUAUGGAACCUGAUGUGGGCAUGGGUCUUCUAAGAUCUUGAAUCUGCCCUCGUUAAGCCUUCUUGCUUCUCCAAAACGAUUGCCUGUCAUGUCUUGGCGUGUCCUUGCAUGGUGGGCUACGUGA
rnacentral:misc_RNA from 1 species